ensembl:lncRNA
GUGGAUACAGCAAUUUUAUCUCCACGGGCAGAGUUGCAAUAAGCCUGUUUACAUACUGACACCAACAACAUAGCAUUAGGUAUCUCUAUAACCAUCUGUGCUCGCAUGCUAAGUUGCUACAGUCGUGUCCGGCUCUUUGCGACCCCAUGGACUGUAGCCUGCCAGGAUCCUCUGUCCAUAGGAUUCUCCAGGCAAGAAUACUGGAGUGGGUUGCCAUUUCCUCCUCCACAGGAUCUUCCCAACCCAAGGAUUGAACUUGUGUGUCCUGAGGCUCCUGCAUUGCAGGGAAGAACCCAUUAUAAAGGUUGUGUUAAUUCUGGGAUCAGAUCACUAUAUCCUGAUCAGGCAUCUGGAAAAUGGGCUCAUAAAUAAGUACCCUCUAUUCUGAAAGAGAUGGGAAUACCAGACCAGCUGACCUGCCUCUUGAGAAACCUAUAUGCAGGUCAGGAAGCAACAGUUAGAACUGGACAUGGAACAACAGACUGGUUCCAAAUAGGAAAAGGAGUAUGUCAAGGCUGUAUAUUGUCACCCUGCUUAUUUAACUUAUAUGCAG